rnacentral:tRNA from 1 species
GCAGGGGUAGCCAAGCCUGGCCAACGGCGCAGGCUUCAGGAGCCUGUCCUGUAGAGGUUCAAGGGUUCAAAUCCCUUCCCCUGCA